AUUGAACGCUGGCGGCGUGCCUAACACAUGCAAGUCGCACGCGAAAGGGGGCAACCCCAAGUAGAGUGGCGGACGGGUGAGUAACGCGUAGGAAUCUACCUAGUAGUGGGGGACACCCGGCGAAAGCCGGGCUAAUACCGCAUACGACCUAAGGGUGACAGCAGGGGAUCGCAAGACCUUGCGCUAUUAGAUGAGCCUGCGUCCGAUUAGCUAGUUGGUGAGGUAACGGCUCACCAAGGCGACGAUCGGUAACUGGUUUGAGAGAACGACCAGUCACAUUGGGACUGAGACACGGCCCAAACUCCUACGGGAGGCAGCAGUGGGGAAUAUUGGACAAUGGGGGCAACCCUGAUCCAGCGACGCCGCGUGUGUGAAGAAGGCCUUCGGGUUGUAAAGCACUUUCGGCAGGGACAAACAAGACGGAGCUAACAUCUCCGUUCCUGAUGGUACCUGAAGAAGAAGCACCGGCUAACUCUGUGCCAGCCGCCGCCGUAA
rnacentral:rRNA from 1 species